rnacentral:rRNA from 1 species
GUGCCAGCCGCCGCGGUAAUACGAAGGGAGCUAGCGUUGUUCGGAAUUACUGGGCGUAAAGGGCGCGUAGGCGGCUCUUUUAGUCAGGCGUGAAAGCCCCGGGCUUAACCUGGGAACAGCGUUUGAUACUGGAGAGCUUGAGUGUGGGGGAGGUUGGUGGAAUUCCCAGUGUAGAGGUGAAAUUCGUAGAUAUCGGGAGGAACACCAGUGGCGAAGGCGGCUCUCUGGACAGGUACUGACGCUGAGACGCGAAAGCGUGGGUAGCAAACAGGAUUAGAUACCCCUGUAGUCC